rnacentral:rRNA from 1 species
GGUUAAGUUAGAAAGGGCGCACGGUGGAUGCCUUGACACUAGGAGUCGAUGAAGGACGGGACUAACGCCGAUAUGCUUCGGGGAGCUGUAAGUAAGCUUUGAUCCGAAGAUUUCCGAAUGGGGAAACCCACCAUACGUAAUGGUAUGGUAUCCUUAUCUGAAUACAUAGGGUAAGGAAGACAGACCCAGGGAACUGAAACAUCUAAGUACCUGGAGGAAGAGAAAGCAAAUGCGAUUUCCUGAGUAGCGGCGAGCGAAACGGAACAUAGCCCAAACCAAGAGGCUUGCCUCUUGGGGUUGUAGGACAUUCUAUACGGAGUUACAAAGGAACGAGGUAGACGAAGCGACCUGGAAAGGUCCGUCGUAGAGGGUAACAACCCCGUAGUCGAAACUUCGUUCUCUCUUGAAUGUAUCCUGAGUACGGCGGAACACGUGAAAUUCCGUCGGAAUCUGGGAGGACCAUCUCCCAAGGCUAAAUACUCCCUAGUGAUCGAUAGUGAACCAGUACCGUGAGGGAAAGGUGAAAAGCACCCCGGAAGGGGAGUGAAAGAGAUCCUGAAACCGUGUGCCUACAAAUAGUCAGAGCCCGUUAACGGGUGAUGGCGUGCCUUUUGUAGAAUGAACCGGCGAGUUACGAUCCCGUGCGAGGUUAAGCUGAAGAGGCGGAGCCGCAGCGAAAGCGAGUCUGAAUAGGGCGUUUAGUACGUGGUCGUAGACCCGAAACCAGGUGAUCUACCCAUGUCCAGGGUGAAGUUCAGGUAACACUGAAUGGAGGCCCGAACCCACGCACGUUGAAAAGUGCGGGGAUGAGGUGUGGGUAGCGGAGAAAUUCCAAUCGAACCUGGAGAUAGCUGGUUCUCCCCGAAAUAGCUUUAGGGCUAGCCUUAAGUGUAAGAGUCUUGGAGGUAGAGCACUGAUUGGACUAGGGGUCCUCAUCGGAUUACCGAAUUCAGUCAAACUCCGAAUGCCAAUGACUUAUCCUUAGGAGUCAGACUGCGAGUGAUAAGAUCCGUAGUCAAAAGGGAAACAGCCCAGACCGCCAGCUAAGGUCCCAAAGUGUGUAUUAAGUGGAAAAGGAUGUGGAGUUGCUUAGACAACUAGGAUGUUGGCUUAGAAGCAGCCACCAUUUAAAG